UACAUGUGGGGCAAGCGUUGUUCGGAAUUACUGGGCAUAAAGGGUGCGUAGGCGGUUUGUUAAGUCACUGGUGAAAGUUUUCGGCCCAACCGGAAAAUUGCCUGUGAUACUGGCGAACUUGAGUGCGUGAGGGGUGGGGGGAACGAGCAGUGUAGCGGUGAAAUGCGCAGAUAUCAGGAGGAACACCGGUGGCGAAGGCGGCACUCUGGGCCGGAACUGACGCUGAGGCGCGAAAGCGUGGGGAUCAAACAGG
rnacentral:rRNA from 1 species